UCCCUGGCAGUCCAGUGGUUAGGACUCUGUGCUUCCACUGCAGGGGACAUGGGUUCGAUCCCUGGUCAGGGAA
rnacentral:tRNA from 1 species